AGUGAACGCUGGCGGUAGGCCUAACACAUGCAAGUCGAACGGCAGCACAGUAAGAGCUUGCUCUUACGGGUGGCGAGUGGCGGACGGGUGAGGAAUACAUCGGAAUCUACUUUUUCGUGGGGGAUCACGUAGGGAAACUUACGCUAAUACCGCAUACGACCUACGGGUGAAAGCAGUGGAUCUUCGGACCUUGCGCGAUUGAAUGAGCCGAUGUCGGAUUAGCUAGUUGGCGGGGUAAAGGCCCACCAAGGCGACGAUCCGUAGCUGGUCUGAGAGGAUGAUCAGCCACACUGGAACUGAGACACGGUCCAGACUCCUACGGGAGGCAGCAGUGGGGAAUAUUGGCCAAUGGGCGCAAGCCUGAUCCAGCCAUACCGCGUGGGUGAAGAAGGCCUUCGGGUUGUAAAGCCCUUUUGUUGGGAAAGAAAAGCAGCAGGUUAAUACCCCGCUGUUCUGACGGUACCCAAAGAAUAAGCACCGGCUAACUUCGUG
rnacentral:rRNA from 1 species